rnacentral:tRNA from 1 species
ACUUUUAUAAUAUAAUAAAAAGAUCUACUUAUAUAUUUAUUAAUAAUGUAUAUAAAUAAAUUAUUUAAUAUAUUAAAAAAUAAAAAAAUAUAAUAAAGUAUUUUUUUUAAUUUAUUUAAUUUUAAAAUAAUAAUUAAAUUUAAAUUCUUAAAUAUAAGCUAGAUUAUAUAUAAAAAUAAAUAUAAAAUUAAAUAAUAAAAUAAUAAAACUAAAAUAUAAUAAUAUAAAAAUUUAUUAAAAGUU